rnacentral:rRNA from 1 species
GACGAACGCUGGCGGCGUGCCUAAUACAUGCAAGUCGAACGCAGUUGGGACGGGUGAGUAACACGUGGGUAACCUCCCAUCAGAGGGGAUAACACUUGUAAACAGGUGCUAAACCGAUAUUGAUGGCUGGACCCGCGGGGGAUUAGCUAGUUGGUGGGGUAACGGCUCACCAAGGCCACGAUGCAUAGCAGGUCUGAGAGGGUGAUCGGCCACACUGGGACUGAGACACGGCCCAGACUCCUACGGGAGGCAGCAGUAGGGAAUAUUCGGCAAUGGACGAAAGUCUGACCGAGCAACGCCGCGUGAGUGAAGAAGGUUUUCGGAUCGUAAAACUCUGUUGUUAGAGAAGCGUUAUCUAACCAGAAAGCCACGGCUAACUACGUGCCAGCAGCCGCGGUAAUAC